AUCUCACCCAACCGCUCACGGCAGAUGGCUGCACCUCUCUAAGCCUGGUUCUGCCGGAGGUUUCUUCCUGUUAAAAGGGAGUUUUUCUGAACACACUCUACCACCAACAAGGACAGCUCACCAGUGGGAACUGAUAGAGAAGACUGCUGAUGCUCUCAUCCAUUGAAGAGCUGACCAGAAAUAUGAUCAGAGAGACUGCAACUGCACCUGAUGGGAUCCCUGCCAUAACAGUCCUCCAUUCAUUCAUAACUCCUCAGAUGUGUUCUGUCCAGUGAAGGCAGUGGAGAAGCCCUACACUGAUCUUGAAACUGUGCCACGCUAGUAGAGACCGGCUACAAGGAUGGGCAGCUGUUUUCGCAAAGUCAGCCAACCACUUGCUUCCAAAUGAC